GAUGAACGCUAGCGGCAGGCUUAAUACAUGCAAGUCGUGGGGCAGCAGGUUUGUAGCAAUACAGAUGCUGGCGACCGGCAAACGGGUGCGGAACACGUACAGAACCUUCCUUUGAGCGGGGAAUAGCCCAGAGAAAUUUGGAUUAAUACCCCAUAGUAUAAUGAAGUGGCAUCACUUUAUUAUUAAAGAUUUAUCACUCGAAGAUGGCUGUGCGGCUGAUUAGGUAGUUGGCGGGGUAAAGGCCCACCAAGCCUGCGAUCAGUAACUGGUGUGAGAGCACGACCAGUCACACGGGCACUGAGACACGGGCCCGACUCCUACGGGAGGCAGCAGUAAGGAAUAUUGGUCAAUGGAGGCAACUCUGAACCAGCCAUGCCGCGUGGAGGAGUGAAGGUCCUCUGGAUUGUAAACUUCUUUUAUAUGGGACGAAAAAAGGCUUUACUAAGUCGUCUGACGGUACCAUAUGAAUAAGCACCGGCUAACUCCGUG
rnacentral:rRNA from 1 species